rnacentral:snoRNA from 1 species
GCGGGUUUGGAUUAAUGGCAGGCCCAUCCCCUGGGCCUCUCAUAGUGUCUCAUGCCAGAGCAUACUGUAGCCCUGGCCUCUGUGCCUGUAGACUACUGACACUGAAGUAGGUUGCAUCUUG